UUAAUCCUUCGGGGCAGGGUGAAAUUCCCUACCGGCGGUGAUGAACGCAGUGAUUGAGCUUAUCGAAGCAGAGUGCUGCGUCUUAGUCCGUGACCCGGAUAUGAAUGUGACGUUUCACAUCGUAUGCGGUGGACCUGGUGCAAAUCCGGGACCGACAGUAUAGUCUGGAUGGGAGAAGGAGUGA
rfam:Paenibacillus sp. Y412MC10, complete genome.